rnacentral:rRNA from 1 species
CCUACGGGUGGCAGCAGUGGGGAAUAUUGCACAAUGGGGGAAACCCUGAUGCAGCAACGCCGCGUGAAGGAAGACGGUUUUCGGAGUGUAAAAUUCUGUUCAUAGUGAAGAAAAAUGACGGACGCUAAGGAGCAUGCCACGACUAACUACGUGCCAGCAGCCGCGGUAAUACGUAGGUGGCAAGCGUUGUCCGGAAUUACUGGGUGUAAAGGGAGCGCAGGCGGGUAACCAAGUCAGCUGUGAAAGCUACGGGCUUAACUUGUAGUCUGCAGUUGAAACUGGUUGUCUUGAGUGAAGUAGAGGUUGGCGGAAUUCGUGGUGUAGCGGUGAAAUGCGUAGAUAUUAGGAGGAACACCGGUGGCGAAGGCGGCCAACUGGGCUUUAACUGACGCUGAGGCUCGAAAGUGUGGGGAGCAAACAGGAUUAGAUACCCUAGUAGUC